rnacentral:sRNA from 1 species
AAUAAUCGGUAGGUGAGGCUACCGUGGGGAUAUUAUUCUAUUAUUUUAGAAUUAAGGGUUGCUGCCGCAAAAUAGUGGAGACACUAUUAUGUUGGUUAACAGAUUAUAUCGACAUAAGGUAUAGUUUAAUGCAAUUUCAAGAUGUAAAAUAUCGUGCCCUACGAAGCUAAAGCUUGUACGAUGC